rnacentral:sRNA from 1 species
UUUGUUCAAGUUUUUU